rnacentral:rRNA from 1 species
UACGAGUGCCCCAAGCGUUAUCCGGAAUUAUUGGGCGUAAAGGGUGUGUAGGUGGUUUUGUUAGUCUUCUGUUAAAGCUCCCGGCUUAACCGGGAAAGUGCAGAGGAAACGGCAAGACUAGAGGAUGUGAGAGGUUUAUGGAACUCAUGGUGUAGGGGUGAAAUCCGUUGAUAUCAUGGGGAACACCAAAAGCGAAGGCAAUAAACUGGCGCAUCCUGACACUGAAACACGAAAGCGUGGGUAGCGAAGUGGG